CCUACGGGACGCAGCAGUAGGGAAUCUUCCGCUAUGGACAAAAGUCUGACGGAGCAACGCCGCGUGAGUGAUGAAGGCUUCCGGGUCGUAAAACUCUGUUGUUAGGGAAGAACAAGUGCUAGUUGAAUAAGCUGGCACCUUGACGGUACCUAACCAGAAAGCCACGGCUAACUACGUGCCUGCAGCCGCGGUAAUACGUAGGUGGCAAGCGUUAUCCGGAAUUAUUGGGCGUAAAGCGCGCGCAGGUGGUUUCUUAAGUCUGAUGUGAAAGCCCACGGCUCAACCGUGGAGGGUCAUUGGAAACUGGGAGACUUGAGUGCAGAAGAGGAAAGUGGAAUUCCAUGUGUAGCGGUGAAAUGUGUAGAGAUAUGGAGGAACACCAGUGGCGAAGGCGACUUUCUGGUCUGUAACUGACACUGAGGCGCGAAAGCGUGGGGAGCAAACAGGAUUAGAUACCCGGGUAGUC
rnacentral:rRNA from 1 species